GACGAACGCUGGCGGCGUGCUUAACACAUGCAAGUCGAACGGAAAGGCCCUGCUUUUGUGGGGUGCUCGAGUGGCGAACGGGUGAGUAACACGUGAGUAACCUGUCCUUGACUUUGGGAUAACUUCAGGAAACUGGGGCUAAUACCGGAUAGGAGCUCCUGCUGCAUGGUGGGGGUUGGAAAGUUUCGGCGGUUGGGGAUGGACUCGCGGCUUAUCAGCUUGUUGGUGGGGUAGUGGCUUACCAAGGCUUUGACGGGUAGCCGGCCUGAGAGGGUGACCGGCCACAUUGGGACUGAGAUACGGCCCAGACUCCUACGGGAGGGAGCAGUAGGGAAUAUUGCACAAUGGGCGGAAGCCUGAUGCAGCAACGCCGCGUGCGGGAUGACGGCCUUCGGGUUGUAAACCGCUUUCGCCUGUGACGAAGCGUGAGUGACGGUAAUGGGUAAAGGAGCACCGGCUAACUACGU
rnacentral:rRNA from 1 species